rnacentral:rRNA from 1 species
AUUGAACGCUGGCGGCAUGCCUUACACAUGCAAGUCGAACGGCAGCAUGGGUGCUUGCACCUGAUGGCGAGUGGCGAACGGGUGAGUAAUGCAUCGGAACGUACCCGGAAGUGGGGGAUAACGUAGCGAAAGUUACGCUAAUACCGCAUAUUCUGUGAGCAGGAAAGCAGGGGACCUUCGGGCCUUGCGCUUUCGGAGCGGCCGAUGUCGGAUUAGCUAGUUGGUGGGGUAAAGGCCUACCAAGGCAACGAUCCGUAGCGGGUCUGAGAGGAUGAUCCGCCACACUGGGACUGAGACACGGCCCAGACUCCUACGGGAGGCAGCAGUGGGGAAUUUUGGACAAUGGGGGCAACCCUGAUCCAGCCAUGCCGCGUGAGUGAAGAAGGCCUUCGGGUUGUAAAGCUCUUUCGGCGGGGAAGAAAUUGCAUCGGAUAAUACCCGGUGUAGAUGACGGUACCCGCAUAAGAAGCACCGGCUAACUACGUGCCAGCAGCCGCAGUAAGAC